CUAUCAAGUAUUAGUAUUACUUUGAAUCAUUUAACAAGUUAGCUUUUACAUUAAUUAUACGUUUGUGCCAAUAGAAAUAUGAAUGAAGAAUGGCUUAGAAUGCACCUGAAUGGCUGAAUGUUCGGUCGACGGCUAAGCACUUGAGAGCAUUCAUAAUUAAAGAUAUGUGUGAGUGUUGAGAAAAAGAAGACUGCAGCCGAACAAAGACUAUAAUAUAUUGAUGUUUUUAAUGAUAGCUGAUUAGAGAAUGACGGUUAUGUACACCAUCAAAAUAAACCAUAUCUCCAAGUUAUUCACUAACUAUUUGUGCAGAAGACUCCAAGGAUAAAUCAGUAUGGGACCUGUGGAGCUAUGGCAGUUGGAUGGAAACUAUUCAUACGAAGAAUAACUGGAGAUAUUGAACUCUUUAUGCAGAAAUUAUAGCUACUCGUUCAUCAGUAUUAUGUUUAAUAGGUUAUUCACUAACUAUUUGUGCAGAAGACUCCAAGGAUAAAUCAGUAUGGGACCUGUGGAGCUAUGGCAGUUGGAUGGAAACUAUUCAUACGAAGAAUAACUGGAGAUAUUGAACUCUUUAUGCAGAAAUUAUAGCUACUCGUUCAUCAGUAUUAUGUUUAAUAGGUUAUUCACUAACUAUUUGUGCAGAAGACUCCAAGGAUAAAUCAGUAUGGGACCUGUGGAGCUAUGGCAGUUGGAUGGAAACUAUUCAUACGAAGAAUAACUGGAGAUAUUGAACUCUUUAUGCAGAAAUUAUAGCUACUCGUUCAUCAGUAUUAUGUUUAACUAGCUGAU